ACGUGACGCAAGGUAAAACGAAGUUUCCCUUCUUCUUCGUCUUUUUCUUCUAAUCUCAUCGACGUCUCGUCUUCACUCGGAUACGUCGCUGUCUUAAGAGAGAUCUAUCGUGCUAGUUAAAAAGAUUUUCUUCGUCCAUACAGGAAUUUAGAAACAACGGAUGUGAUAUGGUUGAUUAAAAACUUGCUAAACUUUUGUGAAGAGAAAAAAAAACAAAGAAAGAAAAAGAACGUGCAAGCACUUAAAUUAUAAAUGUAUGUCUUGCACGAAGGAACGAUUUGAUUAACUCAAGGACAUAUGCAUGAGACCAGAACUAAGAACACCGGAGUAGUAACCCAUGCCAAUUUUAAAGCAAGAAACGAUGUCACCGUAAUUGGUAGGUUUAAACUUCGAGCAUGGUCACCCGAUGAGUGGAAGGAGGAAGUCUCGCAAAAAGAUCGAAACUCAUUAUCUCGGUUUUGCUUCGACCAACGCUUACGGGGUAUCCCGUACGUAUGAGCCUGAUCCAAUUUAGGUUAUGGCCGAUCUUGAGCACGCGAAGUGGAAAAACACGAAGGGUAGAGUAAUUAAGUCGACAAGCGCAUUUCGAUGCCUGUUUAUAUGGGUCAGUCGGUAGAGAAUCCAACCGAAUGAAAUUUCCUUUUGAUUAUCCUUAACCAUCGCACGAAUCUCUUUACAAAUUCCAUGUAUUUAUCGAGCGUUUAUUUUACGAUUUAUAAUUCAAAUUUAAAUUAUUGACGAAUAACUAAUGAUUAAGAUUGAUUCUAUAUCUAUAUUGAAAUCGUUAAGUCGAAUGAAAGUUUUAAAUUGCAAUUUGCGAAUUCUACCUAUUCAAUAUUUUCUAGCCUUCCCUCGUCCUCUUGAUUUUGAGGUUCUUUGUCUUCGGCGUAAAAAAUAUAGAAACGUCGUAAACUUUCAGAAAUUUUAUUUCUACCUUCGCGCACGAAUCUUUUGACGCAUAUAAUGUAACCUGUACCUACGUGAAAUUUUAAACGAACACGAAUAUUCUGUGAGGCGUCGUAAGAUACGAAAGACGAGGGCUUUACAAGAGCGGAACGCAUGUACGUUUCGGAAAGAAAGAGGAGAGGUACGCCUUUACCUCGUGACGUUUUUACGUUAUAUUAUAUGGAACACCAGACGGACUGUAAAUCAUAGCAAUAACGUAUGUAACAUUGGAGAAGCGGUUCGGAGCGUAGUGCAGAAAAUUUAUGCACAGAAAGUGCAGAUCGGAAAUACAUAAUUCAAGAUGGGCAAUACUUGUAACAGGCUUAACUUGAAUUUCUCUGUAUGUAUUCGUUAUAGUCUGCAAUAACUAUCUUCUUUGUAACUUUGAAAAGUGAAAUAAUUAAAAUUAUUUAAGGUAAAAACUUUAAGUAAUUAUACUGCUUCCUGUCCUUUAAAAAUCUAAUCAUUUUUCUUUCUCAUUCGGGACACUAAUUUCUUGCGCAAGAUAACUAUCAUAGAUUUCGAAAGAUCGAAAAUUUCUAACAAUUCUCGAGAGACGAACACGCUCGUUCGCACAAUUGUACUAACUUAAUAAGAAGCACGACCGUGAUGUGGGCCGCACAAUGCUUGCUCGAUACGAUCUUCGAAUGCGGGUCCUUUCACAUUAAGACCUAGCGGUUACAUUAGACUUCCUAAACCGUAACAAUAAGACGGUCUAUUACGUGUUUGACGUAUGCAUUGAAAUCACGCAAACCUUUCGGUUUAAAGUGAUGUGUUCAAAAGGAAUCUAAUAAAAUUUGUAAAAUGUAAUUUCUAAUUUAAGAAAAACAUCGAUGUUAAAAUAUUCUUUAUAUUUCUCAAAGAGAUAAAUCAAAUGAAUUUGUAAUUAUAAAUUAAUUUCUCAA